UACGUAGGUGGCAAGCGUUGUCCGGAUUUACUGGGCGUAAAGGGCGUGCAGGCGGUCUGUUAAGUCUAGGGUGAAAGCUCCCGGCUCAACUGGGAGAGGUCCUUGGAUACUGGCGGACUUGAGGGAGGUAGAGGAAAGUGGAAUUCCCGGUGUAGUGGUGAUAUGCGUAGAUAUCGAGAGGAACACCUGCGGCGAAGGCGGGUUGCUGGGCUGACACUGACGCUGAAGCGCGAAAGCUAGGGGAGCGAACGGG
rnacentral:rRNA from 1 species